GAUGCGUCCUUGUCGAGUCGGGUUGCUUGGGAUUGCAGCUUGAAGUGGGUGGUAAAUUCCAUCUAAAGCUAAAUACUGGCGAGAGACCGAUAGCGAACAAGUACCGUGAGGGAAAGAUGCAAAGAACUUUGAAAAGAGAGUCAAAGAGUGCUUGAAAUCGGUAGGAGGAAACCCGGAUGGGCCCGGCUUCGGCGUCGCGACUCAGCCCCCUGCUCGGGGGGGUGCACUUUGCGACGCCGGGUCAGCCGCCGCUCCGGCCGCGGUACAACUGGGGAGCAGGGCUCCGGCGAGCUCCCCUCCUGCCGCGCCCGGGGCGCCGUCUGACGGAACGGGCCCCUCCGACCCGUCUAGAAACACGGACCAAGGAGUCUGACACGUGUGCGAGUACCCGGGUGGCAAGCCCGCGUGCGGAAUGAAAGUGAAGGGCAUGCCCUGCCAACCGACCUUGACCUUCUGUGAAGGGUUUGAGUGGAGCACACCUGUCGGGACCCGAAAGAUGGUGAACUAUGC
rnacentral:rRNA from 1 species